UAGUACCGCUUGUCAUUCUGACACUCUGUCCCCAGUGCCGGAUGAGGCUUCCUGGCGCGUUUCCUGUUCCUUGCCACUGAGAUUAAGGAGCAAAUUCCAGAGGCGCACAUCAUCGGCUUCAUAGGACAGAAAGGAAGUUUUGAAGUUACAAUUAACAAUAAGUUGGUUUUCUCUAAACUGCAAUCAAAUACAUUCCCUCACCAUGGCGACAUCAUUGCGGCAGUGAAGGCAGCGAGGGAUGGAUUGAUGCAGAACAUUAUAAGUGGGGAGGACAUUAUGAUCAAGAAGAAAACUUGCACUGUAUUAUAGCAGAGACUGAGGAACCUGGCAUCAGUUUACGGUUCAGAUUGAUGAAGCACCAUUCUGUCAAUGAUUGGUUUCCCCUAAAGCUGGUGGUGAAGACAUGAACAGAAAUCAGAAAAGGUGCUUCCCCUGUUUGGGAUCUGCUGCAAACAUUGUCAUUGGUCAGUCUGUUGUACACAGAUAACUGCUGUCAUAUUGUCACUUCAUUAAAACUGAAUUUGUUAAA